CCUACGGGCGGCAGCAGUGAGGAAUAUUGGUCAAUGGGCGCAAGCCUGAACCAGCCAAGUCGCGUGAGGGAUGACGGUCCUAUGGAUUGUAAACCUCUUUUGUCGGGGAGCAAGGCCCGCCACGUGUGGCGGGAAGGAGAGUACCCGAAGAAAAAGCAUCGGCUAACUCCGUGCCAGCAGCCGCGGUAAUACGGGGGAUGCGAGCGUUAUCCGGAUUUAUUGGGUGUAAAGGGUGCGUAGGCGGAAGGUUAAGUCAGCGGUCAAAUGUCGGUGCUCAACACCGGCCUGCCGUUGAAACUGGUCGUCUUGAGUGAGCGAGAAGUAUGCGGAAUGCGUGGUGUAGCGGUGAAAUGCAUAGAUAUCACGCAGAACUCCGAUUGCGAAGGCAGCAUACCGGCGCUCAACUGACGCUGAGGCACGAAAGCGUGGGGAUCGAACAGGAUUAGAUACCCCUGUAGUC
rnacentral:rRNA from 1 species